rnacentral:rRNA from 1 species
AAUUCGAUUAGUUUGAUCAUGGCUCAGGACGAACGCUGGCGGCGUGCCUAACACAUGCAAGUCGAACGGGACCGGGGGCAACUCCGGUUCAGUGGCGGACGGGUGCGUAACACGUGAGGAACAUGACCUUCGGCGGGGGAUAGCCGGCCCAACGGCCGGGUAAUACCGCGUACGACCACUCUGGGACAUCCCUAGGUGGUGAAAGCAGCAAUGCGCCGAUGGAGUGCCUCGCGGCCUAUCAGCUAGUUGGUGAGGUAACGGCUCACCAAGGCAACGACGGGUAGCUGGUCUGAGAGGAUGGCCAGCCACAUUGGGACUGAGACACGGCCCAGACUCCUACGGGAGGCAGCAGUGGGGAAUAUUGCGCAAUGGACGAAAGUCUGACGCAGCGACGCCGCGUGUGGGAUGACGGUCUUCGGAUUGUAAACCACUGUCGGGAGGGACGAAUACGCCGCAAGGCGGGUGACGGUACCUCCAAAGGAAGCACCGGCUAACUCCGUGCCAGCAGCCGCGGUAAUACGGAGGGUGCGAGCGUUGUCCGGAAUCACUGGGCGUAAAGGGCGCGUAGGCGGCCUGAUAAGUAGGGGGUGAAAUCCUGCGGCUCAACCGCAGGG